rnacentral:rRNA from 1 species
GAUGAACGCUGGCGGCGUGCCUAAUACAUGCAAGUCGAGCGAACAGACGAGGAGCUUGCUCCUCUGACGUUAGCGGCGGAAGGGUGAGUAACACGUGGAUAACCUACCUAUAAGACUGGGAUAACUUCGGGAAACCGGAGCUAAUACCGGAUAAUAUAUUGAACCGCAUGGUUCAAUAGUGAAAGACGGUUUUGCUGUCACUUAUAGAUGGAUCCGCGCCGCAUUAGCUAGUUGGUAAGGUAACGGCUUACCAAGGCGACGAUGCGUAGCCGACCUGAGAGGGUGAUCGGCCACACUGGAACUGAGACACGGUCCAGACUCCUACGGGAGGCAGCAGUAGGGAAUCUUCCGCAAUGGGCGAAAGCUUGACGGAGCAACGCCGCGUGAGUGAUGAAGGUCUUCGGAUCGUAAAACUCUGUUAUUAGGGAAGAACAAAUGUGUAAGUAACUAUGCACGUCUUGACGGUACCUAAUCAGAAAGCCACGGCUAACUACGUG